AGUGAACGCUGGCGGCAUGCCUAAUACAUGCAAGUCGAACGGCCGCACAGUAAGCUUUCUCCUCUACUGUUGGCGAGUGGCGGACGGGUGACGCAUACAUCGCCUUCUUCUUUUUCUUGGGUGACUACGUAGGGCCACUUAUGCUACUACCUCAUAUUUUGUACCGGUUAAUUCAGGGGAUCUUCGCACUUUUCCUGUCUGUUUUAGCCGAUGUCGGAUUAGCUAGUUGGCUGGGUAAAGGCCCACCAAGGCGACGAUCCGUAGCUGGUCUGAGAGGAUGAUCGGCCACACUGGAACUGAGACACGGUCCAGACUCCUGCGGGAGGCAGCAGUAGGGAAUAUUGGGCAAUGGGCGAAAGCCUGAUGCAGCCAUGCCGCGUGAGUGAUGAAGGCCUUCGGAUUGUAAAGCUCUUUUAUUAGGAAAGAAAAGAAGCAGAAGAAUACCCGGAUGUUCUGACGGUACCCAAUGAGAAAGCAACGGCUAACUACGUG
rnacentral:rRNA from 1 species